rnacentral:tRNA from 1 species
GCUGAGGUGUCCGAGUGGUUAAGGAGUUGGACUUGAAAUCCAAUGGGCUAUGCCCGCGCAGGUUCGAAUCCUGUCCUCAGCG